AUGUGCUAUGUCCCAAGCUUCCUUCUAGCUCUGAUAUUCUAUGCUACAUGGUCCUUCUCAGUUUUAACAUUACUCCAACAACUCUCUGCCACUCAUUUUAAAAGUAAGAGCAUUCCCCAAGAAUUUGUCAUGCUCAACUAUGCAUGUUGGUUAGAAGGGAUUUGUUUUUCCCUAUUGGAGCAAUGGGGGGGGGGGGGGUGGAUAAGAAAAGAGGGGAAAACAGAAAAGACAGAAAAGAAGAUCCUUGAGAUUUUUUUAAUGCAUAGAAGAAAAAGAAGGAAAGCCAGAAAGAAGCACAAAGGAGCAAGGCAACUUUGGAAGCUACAAAGGAAGCACCCGGACUCACAGAGUAGAAAUGACUGCCUCAAGGUCACCCAAGGAAUCACUGUAGAGCCAGGACUCCUAUUUUGCUCUGCUGACUUCAAGAGAGUUCCAGACCCCUUGGCAGAAGAGCCAGAAGGGACUUCAUGACAGAAUCUUGAAUGGCAGAGCUGGAAGGAACUUCAGAAUAUAGAACAGAUGUCAAGUAGAAUGGACCAUCUCAGAAGGAUCAAUGGAUGCCUACCCUUCAAGCCAAGGUUGGAUGAUCUCCUAAAGACGGUACCUAUGAUAGAAGGGAUUACAUUUCAUAGUCCUAGGCAAGUCAUUUAACCCCAAUUGCUUGAUCCUUACUGCUCUUCUGUCUUAGAUCCAAUAUUUAGAAUCAAUUCUAAGACCAAAGGUAAUGGUUUAAACAAAUAAACCAAAAGACCAAAUCCUUCA
rnacentral:lncRNA from 1 species